rnacentral:rRNA from 1 species
AUACGAAGGGAGCUAGCGUUGUUCGGAAUUACUGGGCGUAAAGCGCACGUAGGCGGAUUUGUUAGUCAGGGGUGAAAUCCCGGGGCCCAACCUCGGAACUGCCUUUGAUACUGCAAGUCUGGAGUCCGGAAGAGGUGGGUGGAAUUCCUAGUGUAGAGGUGAAAUUCGUAGAUAUUAGGAAGAACACCGGUGGCGAAGGCGGCCAACUGGACCAGUUCUGACGCUGAGACGCGAAAGCGUGGGGAGCAAACAGGAUUAGAUACCCCGGUAGUCC